ACUUGGGGGGGGGCUUCCCAUGCGGUCGAGCGGUCGACAGAGAGAGCGUCUCCUGACACGAAGGUCGGCCGCCAAGGCAUAUCUGACUGCCUGGGAGAGGGGGAGGCGACUUUGGCGAACGCGGUACCGCGUAAUUCCCACCGCAAAACGCAAGUGAGCUUCCUUCCUUGCCCUAGCAAAUGAGCCUGGGUACCAUUCCGCCAUUGGUGAGGGAGGGGCUCACCCAGGCGGGAUCCGGAUCUGGUCGGAGAGGAAGAUCAGUCACACUGCUCUGAUGAGAGUCCAGACUAAUCUGGAAGGCAGCAGUGGGGAAUAUUGGACAAUGGGCGAAAGCCUGAUCCAGCCAUGCCGCGUGUGUGAAGAAGGUCUUCGGAUUGUAAAGCACUUUAAGUUGGGAGGAAGGGCAGUUACCUAAUACAUGAUUGUUUUGACGUUAUUAACAGAAUAAGCACCGGCUAACUCUGUGCCAGCAGCCGCGGCAUACAGAGGGUGCAAGCGUUAAUCGGAAUUACUGGGCGGAGAGCGCGCGUAGGUGGUUUGUUAACUUGGAUGUGAAAUCCCCGGGCUCAACCCUGGGAACUGCUUUCUAAACUGACUGACUAGAAUAUGGUAGAGGGAGGGGGGAAUUUUCCUGUGUAGCGGUGAGUGCGUAGAUAUAGGAAGGAACACCACUGGCGGAAGGAGACCACCCGGACUACUAA
rnacentral:rRNA from 2 species